rnacentral:tRNA from 1 species
GCGGGUAUGCUGGAAUCGGCAGACAGGCAAGCUUGAGGUGCUUGUGCCCAUCAGGGCGUGUGAGUUCAAAUCUCACUACCCGCACCA